rnacentral:rRNA from 1 species
UACGUAGGGGGCAAGCGUUGUCCGGAUUUAUUGGGCGUAAAGAGCGUGUAGGCGGCCAUACAGGUCAGCUGUGAAAACUCGAGGCUCAACCUCGAGACGUCGGUUGAAACCGUAUGGCUAGAGUCCGGAAGAGGAGAGUGGAAUUCCCGGUGUAGCGGUGAAAUGCGCAGAUAUCAGGAGGAACGCCAAUGGCGAAGGCAGCUCGCUGGGACGGUACUGACGCUGAGGCGCGAAAGCGUGGGGAGCGAACAGG